rnacentral:rRNA from 1 species
UACGAAGGGGGGCUAGCGUUGCUCGGAAUCACUGGGCGUAAAGGGUGCGUAGGCGGGUUUUUAAGUCAGGGGUGAAAUCCUGGAGCUCAACUCCAGAACUGCCUUUGAUACUGAAGAUCUUGAGUCCGGGAGAGGUGAGUGGAACUGCGAGUGUAGAGGUGAAAUUCGUAGAUAUUCGGAAGAACACCAGUGGCGAAGGCGGCUCACUGGACCGGCAUUGACGCUGAGGUGCGAAAGCGUGGGUAGCAAACAGG